rnacentral:snoRNA from 19 species
GACGACUUACUUCUAAGAAUCAUUUCUAUAGUAUACGUCUCCUUCUGAUUUUUUCGCUUUAGCGACAGAAUCCCCACUCUUGCGGAUGACCUUAUGUCCAGUAUGCCCUAAAGUGAAACCGUGUGUUCCCGCCUCGACUUCGAUCAGAUCUGGAUUCUGUCCGGGUUCUGUCGCUGUCCAGGGAAUGGUGAUGAUCUUGACCUUGCGCUAGCGUCUUGACUUCGGUCGGCUGCGUCUGGUGGGUGUACUGGAGGUCUGAAAGAG